rnacentral:rRNA from 1 species
GUGGGGAAUAUUGGACAAUGGGCGCAAGCCUGAUCCAGCCAUGCCGCGUGAGUGAUGAAGGCCCUAGGGUUGUAAAGCUCUUUCACCGGUGAAGAUAAUGACGGUAACCGGAGAAGAAGCCCCGGCUCACUUCGUGCCAGCAGCCGCGGUAAUACGAAGGGGGCUAGCGUUGUUCGGAAUUACUGGGCGUAAAGCGCACGUAGGCGGACAUUUAAGUCAGGGGUGAAAUCCCGGGGCUCAACCCCGGCACUGCCUUUGAUACUGGGUGUCUGGGGUAUGGAAGUGGUAAGUGGAAUUCCGAGUGUAGAGGUGAAAUUCGUAGAUAUUCGGAGGAACACCAGUGGCGAAGGCGGCUUACUGGUCCAUUACUGACGCUGAGGUGCGAAAGCGUGGGGAGCAAACAGGAUUAGAAACCCGAGUAGUCC